ACUGCGAAUGGCUCAUUAUAUAAGUUAUCGUUUAUUUGAUAGUACCUUACUACUUGGAUAACCGUGGUAAUUCUAGAGCUAAUACAUGCUAAAAAUCCCGACUUCGGAAGGGAUGUAUUUAUUAGAUUAAAAACCAAUGCCCCUCGGGGCUCUCUGGUGAUUCAUAAUAACUUCUCGAAUCGCACGGCCUUGCGCCGGCGAUGGUUCAUUCAAAUUUCUUCCCUAUCAACUUUCGAUGUUUGGGUAGUGGCCAAACAUGGUUGCAACGGGUAACGGAGGGUUAGGGCUCGACCCCGGAGAAGGAGCCUGAGAAACGGCUACUACAUCCAAGGAAGGCAGCAGGCGCGCAAAUUACCCAAUCCCGAUUCGGGGAGGUAGUGACAAUAAAUACUGAUACAGGGCUCUUUCGGGUCUUGUAAUUGGAAUGAGUACAAUUUAAAUCCCUUAACGAGGAACAAUUGGAGGGCAAGUCUGGUGCCAGCAGCCGCGGUAAUUCCAGCUCCAAUAGCGUAUAUUAAAGUUGUUGUGGUUAAAAAGCUCGUAGUUGAACCUUGGGCCUGGCUGGCCGGUCCGCCUCACCGCGUGUCACUGGUCCGGCCGGGUCUUUCCCUCUGUGGAACCACAUGCCCUUCACUGGGCGUGGCGGGGAAACAGGACUUUUACUUUGAAAAAAUUAGAGUGCUCCAGGCAGGCCUAUGCUCGAAUACAUUAGCAUGGAAUAAUGAAAUAGGACGUGCGGUUCUAUUUUGUUGGUUUCUAGGACCGCCGUAAUGAUUAAUAGGGACAGUCGGGGGCAUCAGUAUUCAAUUGUCAGAGGUGAAAUUCUUGGAUUUAUUGAAGACUAACUACUGCGAAAGCAUUUGCCAAGGAUGUUUUCAUUAAUCAGAACGAAAGUUAGGGGAUCGAAGACGAUCAGAUACCGUCGUAGUCUUAACCAUAACUAUGCCGACUAGGGAUCGGACGAUGUUAUUUAGUUGACUCGUUCGGCACCUU
rnacentral:rRNA from 2 species